UGAGGAAUAUUGGUCAAUGGACGCAAGUCUGAACCAGCCAUGCCGCGUGCAGGAUGACGGCUCUAUGAGUUGUAAACUGCUUUUGUACGAGGGUAAACGCAGAUACGUGUAUCUGUCUGAAAGUAUCGUACGAAUAAGGAUCGGCUAACUCCGUGCCAGCAGCCGCGGUAAUACGGAGGAUUCAAGCGUUAUCCGGAUUUAUUGGGUUUAAAGGGUGCGUAGGCGGUUUGAUAAGUUAGAGGUGAAAUUUCGGGGCUCAACCCUGAACGUGCCUCUAAUACUGUUGAGCUAGAGAGUAGUUGCGGUAGGCGGAAUGUAUGGUGUAGCGGUGAAAUGCUUAGAGAUCAUACAGAACACCGAUUGCGAAGGCAGCUUACCAAACUAUAUCUGACGUUGAGGCACGAAAGCGUGGGGAGCAAACAGGAUUAGAUACCCUGGUAGUCCACGCAGUAAACGAUGAUAACUCGUUGUCGGCGAUACACAGUCGGUGACUAAGCGAAAGCGAUAAGUUAUCCACCUGGGGAGUACGUUCGCAAGAAUGAAACUCAAAGGAAUUGACGGGGGCCCGCAUAAGCGGAGGAACAUGUGGUUUAAUUCGAUGAUACGCGAGGAACCUUACCCGGGCUUGAAAGUUAGCGACGAUUCUUGAAAGAGGAUUUCCCUUCGGGGCGCGAAACUAGGUGCUGCAUGGUUGUCGUCAGCUCGUGCCGUGAGGUGUCGGGUUAAGUCCCAUAACGAGCGCAACCCCUACCGUUAGUUGCCAUCAGGUGAAGCUGGGCACUCUGGCGGGACUGCCGGUGUAAGCCGAGAGGAAGGUGGGGAUGACGUCAAAUCAGCACGGCCCUUACGUCCGGGGCUACACACGUGUUACAAUGGUAGGUACAGAGGGCAGCUACCCAGCGAUGGGAUGCGAAUCUCGAAAGCCUAUCUCAGUUCGGAUUGGAGGCUGAAACCCGCCUCCAUGAAGUUGGAUUCGCUAGUAAUCGCGCAUCAGCCAUGGCGCGGUGAAUACGUUCCC
rnacentral:rRNA from 1 species